UACGUAGGGGGCUAGCGUUGUCCGGAAUCAUUGGGCGUAAAGAGCGUGUAGGCGGCCCGGUAAGUCCGCUGUGAAAGUCGGGGGCUCAACCCUCGAAUGCCGGUGGAUACUGUCGGGCUAGAGUGCGGAAGAGGCGAGUGGAAUUCCGUGGUGUAGCGGUGAAAUGCGCAGAUAUCAGGAGGAACACCGAUUGCGAAGGCAGCUCGCUGGGACGUAACUGACGCUGGAGACGCGAAAGCGUGGGGAGCAAACAGG
rnacentral:rRNA from 1 species